GACGUAGGGCGCGAGCGUUGUCCGGAUUUAUUGGGCGUAAAGAGCUCGUAGGCGGCUUGUCGCGUCGAAUGUGAAAACUCGGGGCUCAACUCCGAGCUUGCAUUCGAUACGGGCAGGCUAGAGUUCGGUAGGGGAGACUGGAAUUCCUGGUGUAGCGGUGAAAUGCGCAGAUAUCAGGAGGAACACCGAUGGCGAAGGCAGGUCUCUGGGCCACUACUGACGCUGAGAAGCGAAAGCAUGGGGAGCGAACAG
rnacentral:rRNA from 1 species